rnacentral:lncRNA from 1 species
AGAGACAGUCAUUCCUCACAGAAGUUUCAGGCUGAGGUAACACACGGGGAAGCAGCCACCGAGACCUUCCCAUGGUGCAGUAUGAGCCAAAUGGGGCCUCGCCACGGGUAAGAAGUGAGCCCACCAACCAAGAGGGAAGAGGGAGUCUGAACUUGAACCCGGCCAGGAUCCCUGUAAGCUAACAUUCAAAAUCCUCUUCUGACUUCAUUUUGGAGAAGGAAAUGGCAGCUGGAUGGCGGUGUGCACAUCCUGACCCAGCCCGCCACACUUCCAGAUUGCCUGGGAUGGCAACCCUGCAGAAGGAUGGCCGAGAUGUCACAAUACCCCAGCCAACCUCUAAGAGCAGAGCAGUUACCAGCAAGAAUAUCCUGGGAAAAUGAAAAGAACUAGAAACCGCAGACAUGGUGAUCGCCAGUGUUGACGGAAGCCCGGGUUCUUUCCUUACCCUCCAAGUGGUUUUUGCUUCUGAAGUUGAACCUAAUGUUUUCUCUUUUGUAGACACAAAGUCACAUCACACGUAACUGGAAUGCUCCUCUCUUCGCCUUACGCAUGUCCUAGACAUGGCCUUACCCUUUUGUACUCCCUUUCUCCUUUGAGGAAACAUGGACAUUUAACAGAACAGCUAGGAAAACAUUACAGUCAGAACUCAGUCACACAGGUAAGGGAGAGACUCCAUAUCUAAGAAUCAGAAUAUGCUAUUUUUAGUCAGGUGGGAUAAUAGAAAACUUCCUCUUGCUCAUGUAGAACUCUCAUGAUUGUCUCUACCGAGGCUGUCACUGAACGUAUUUUCAUGAAGUUCUGUGUUUCAACAUUUAUCCAAGUAGUAUGUAGCUAUUUCUUACCAGACUGAACUGCCUCUUGCUUACUUCAAUGUAAAAGAGGAAUUGUGAAAGAUUUAUAGUUAGAAGUUAGAAGUGACUGAUAGAAUUUCUGCCCUCCUGAGCCUUGGUUAGUAGCUUGGGGUGAAAGGCAUUUCAAGUUUACAGAAGAUUUCAGGGGGCCAGUGACCCCCUGUGUUCAUGAAACAUCUGUAUACAGAACAAAUAUCCCAGAGCACCAGGGUCACAGAGAUGCUCACCUUUCAAGAGGUGGGAAUGUCUUCAAGAAUGUUCAACUUUCAAGGGUUAGCCCUGGCCUCCUGCCAGGUUCACAGGAUGUGUUAGGAGUCUGAGUCUGUCUGUAGCAGAAGUAGCAUUCCCUGCCACUAAGGAAAAUUCCUGUAUUUGGGGCAGGCUUGAUAGUAAGGGCAUGCCUAUAUCCAUAUAUCCAGAAAAUCCAGAUAGCGUGAGAAACACAACAAUGUCAGCUUCAUCUCCUACAAUAAUUUGAGGCAACUAACUCCGUCAUCUCUUCCUUCCCUUUCCUCUUCUCUCCUCUCCUCUCCUCUCC